rnacentral:rRNA from 1 species
AGGACGAACGCUGGCGGCGUGCUUAAGACAUGCAAGUCGAACGGCGGCACGGGGGCAACCCUGGUGGCGAGUGGCGAACGGGUGAGUAAUGCAUCGGAACGUAUCCUUGAGUGGGGGAUAACGCAGCGAAAGUUGUGCUAAUACCGCAUAAGCUCUGAGGAGGAAAGCGGGGGACCGAAAGGCCUCGCGCUGAAGGAGCGGCCGAUGUCCGAUUAGCUAGUUGGUGAGGUAAAGGCUUACCAAGGCGACGAUCGGUAGCUGGUCUGAGAGGAUGAUCAGCCACACUGGGACUGAGACACGGCCCAGACUCCUACGGGAGGCAGC